UCCUACGGGAGGCAGCAGUGGGGAAUAUUGCACAAUGGGGGAAACCCUGAUGCAGCGACGCCGCGUGAGCGAAGAAGUAUUUCGGUAUGUAAAGCUCUAUCAGCAGGGAAGAAAAUGACGGUACCUGACUAAGAAGCACCGGCUAAAUACGUGCCAGCAGCCGCGGUAAUA
rnacentral:rRNA from 1 species